rnacentral:rRNA from 1 species
AGUCGAGCGCCCCUCCUUCAGCGAGCUUGGAGGAUUGAGAUCGAGCGAAGCCGAAGGGCUCGCUUGAUGGAGGGGAGCGGCAGACGGGAGAGUAACACGUGGGAACGUACCCUUUGGUUCGGAACAACCCAGGGAAACUUGGGCUAAUACCGGAUAAGCCCUUACGGGGAAAGAUUUAUCGCCGAAGGAUCGGCCCGCGUCUGAUUAGCUAGUUGGUGGGGUAAUGGCCCACCAAGGCGACGAUCAGUAGCUGGUCUGAGAGGAUGAUCAGCCUCACUGGGACUGAGACACGGCCCAGACUCCUACGGGAGGCAGCAGUGGGGAAUAUUGGACAAUGGGCGCAAGCCUGAUCCAGCCAUGCCGCGUGGGUGAUGAAGGCCCUAGGGUUGUAAAGCCCUUUCGGCGGGGAAGAUAAUGACGGUACCCGCAGAAGAAGCCCCGGCUAACUUCGUGCCAGCAGCCGCGGUAAUACGAAGGGGGCUAGCGUUGCUCGGAAUCACUGGGCGUAAAGCGCACGUAGGCGGAUUGUUAAGUCAGGGGUGAAAUCCUGGAGCUCAACUCCAGAACUGCCUUUGAUACUGGCGAUCUCGAGUCCGGGAGAGGUGAGUGGAACUGCGAGUGUAGAGGUGAAAUUCGUAGAUAUUCGCAAGAACACCAGUGGCGAAGGCGGCUCACUGGCCCGGUACUGACGCUG